rnacentral:rRNA from 1 species
UACGUAGGGUCCGAGCGUUGUCCGGAAUUAUUGGGCGUAAAGGGCUCGUAGGCGGUUUGUCGCGUCGGGAGUGAAAACACCAGGCUUAACUUGGUGCUUGCUUUCGAUACGGGCAGACUUGAGGCAUGCAGGGGAGAACGGAAUUCCUGGUGUAGCGGUGAAAUGCGCAGAUAUCAGGAGGAACACCGGUGGCGAAGGCGGUUCUCUGGGCAUGUUCUGACGCUGAGGAGCGAAAGUGUGGGGAGCGAACAGG